AACGAACGCUGGCGGCAUGCCUAACACAUGCAAGUCGAACGAGACCUUCGGGUCGAGUGGCGCACGGGUGCGUAACGCGUGGGAACCUGCCCUUAGGUUCGGAAUAACUCCCCGAAAGGGGUGCUAAUACCGGAUAAUGUCUUCGGACCAAAGAUUUAUCGCCUUUGGAUGGGCCCGCGUUGGAUUAGCUAGUUGGUAGGGUAAAAGCCUACCAAGGCGACGAUCCAUAGCUGGUCUGAGAGGAUGAUCAGCCACACUGGGACUGAGACACGGCCCAGACUCCUACGGGAGGCAGCAGUGGGGAAUAUUGGACAAUGGGCGAAAGACUGAUACAGCAAUGCCGCGUGAGUGAUGAAGGCCUUAGGGUUGUAAAGCUCUUUUACCCGGGAUGAUAAUGACAGUACCGGGAGAAUAAGCUCCGGCUAACUCCGUG
rnacentral:rRNA from 1 species